CAGGCUUCCCAGCCAAGCCUGGGGUCACUGGCAUGUAAAAGGAUCCUGGCUCCAAAGGUUCAGGGAAGUGGGCAGGACGUACAGAUUCCACAUGUCUGAGGAGCAGCCGCCAUCAAAUUGUUCAC